GACGAACGCUGGCGGCGUGCUUAACACAUGCAAGUCGAACGGAAAGGCCCUGCUUUUGUGGGGUGCUCGAGUGGCGAACGGGUGAGUAACACGUGAGUAACCUGCCCUUGACUUUGGGAUAACUUCAGGAAACUGGGGCUAAUACCGGAUAGGAGCUCCUGCUGCAUGGUGGGGGUUGGAAAGUUUCGGCGGUUGGGGAUGGACUCGCGGCUUAUCAGCUUGUUGGUGGGGUAGUGGCUUACCAAGGCUUUGACGGGUAGCCGGCCUGAGAGGGUGACCGGCCACAUUGGGACUGAGAUACGGCCCAGACUCCUACGGGAGGCAGCAGUGGGGAAUAUUGCACAAUGGGCGGAAGCCUGAUGCAGCAACGCCGCGUGCGGGAUGACGGCCUUCGGGUUGUAAACCGCUUUCGCCUGUGACGAAGCGUGAGUGACGGUAAUGGGUAAAGAAGCACCGGCUAACUACGUGCCAGCAGCCGCGGUGAUACGUAGGGUGCGAGCGUUGUCCGGAUUUAUUGGGCGUAAAGGGCUCGUAGGUGGUUGAUCGCGUCGGAAGUGUAAUCUUGGGGCUUAACCCUGAGCGUGCUUUCGAUACGGGUUGACUUGAGGAAGGUAGGGGAGAAUGGAAUUCCUGGUGGAGCGGUGGAAUGCGCAGAUAUCAGGAGGAACACCAGUGGCGAAGGCGGUUCUCUGGGCCUUUCCUGACGCUGAGGAGCGAAAGCGUGGGGAGCGAACAGGCUUAGAUACCCUGGUAGUCCACGCUGUAAACGGUGGGUACUAGGUGUGGGGUCCAUUCCACGGGUUCCGUGCCGUAGCUAACGCUUUAAGUACCCCGCCUGGGGAGUACGGCCGCAAGGCUAAAACUCAAAGGAAUUGACGGGGCCCCGCACAAGCGGCGGAGCAUGCGGAUUAAUUCGAUGCAACGCGUAGAACCUUACCUGGGUUUGACAUGGAUCGGGAGUGCUCAGAGAUGGGUGUGCCUCUUUUGGGGUCGGUUCACAGGUGGUGCAUGGCUGUCGUCAGCUCGUGCCGUGAGAUGUUGGGUUAAGUCCCGCAACGAGCGCAACCCUUGUUCACUGUUGCCAGCACGUUAUGGUGGGGACUCAGUGGAGACCGCCGGGGUCAACUCGGGGGAAGGUGGGGAUGACGUCAAGUCAUCAUGCCCCUUAUGUCCAGGGCUUCACGCAUGCUACAAUGGCUGGUACAGAGAGUGGCGAGCCUGUGAGGGUGAGCGAAUCUCGGAAAGCCGGUCUCAGUUCGGAUUGGGGUCUGCAACUCGACCUCAUGAAGUCGGAGUCGCUAGUAAUCGCAGAUCAGCAACGCUGCGGUGAAUACGUUCCCGGGGCU
rnacentral:rRNA from 1 species